UCCUGAUAUGAUUCUUUCACAGUUUUAGUGAGCUCUGCAUGAAGAUUCUAAACUACUGGUUAAUGGAAGAUUACAGAGGAAGGGUCCUUUUAAGCUUGACAUAUUUCUUAUGCUUUUUCCCUAUGGUUGUAGCUACAGGUCACCAUCCAAGCAGAUACAGGGCAGGACCAUCCUUUGGUCCUGCCCAAAACAAUGGCUACUUGCAAGACUAGAGCCAAAAAAAAGAAAAUAUAUGGAAAUGUUAAAAAUAAGAAGGCAGGAACCUUCUGUUUUUUAUCCCAGCCUAUAAUUCUAAUUAAAUCACUUGGAAGAAGCGAUCCCAUUUUCCCCCUUGCUCUCACUCCUACUUAUGCUGGUGCAGCCAUUUGUGAGAUCAUAUUGUGAACUGUAGUAGGUCUGAAAAAUAACCCUGCAUGUCACAUUUUGCUACUAACUACAGAAGAUUUUUUUAUUUGUCAUGAGCCAGCAGCUGCAUUAUUUCCUCUUCUUGCUAUGUGGAGCCACAGAGAUUAUUUUUUUCCUAGGAAUCUUUGCGAAACAGUCUCCUUUAAAUGCUAUACUUUGCAGUGACUAGGCAUGCUUUUAUCAGGGAAAAAUAAAUCCAUCUGGAAAUGAGGAAUUAGGUCAUGAUAUUUUCUCCCCACUCACAAGGUCUUUUGGAAGACAGGGAAUUUAGACUCAUUUGCUUUCAGCCAUUAUUCAAAACAUCCUGCUUAUCUUUCAAGUACCAUUUGGUCCCUGGCUUCUUUUGUACACAUCUUUAUAGUAUUGAGAGUGUUUUUUCAUUGCAGCAGGCAGAAGCAUCUGUUUUCUUCCAACCCACUUAGAAGUGCUACUGUGCAGCUCACAGGUAUGCUAUUGUGAAUUGUCUCGUACGUGCACCCAUGCAUCUCCUCCUGUGUGAGCUGAAGUGAAUCAAUGUUUAAACUACCCUCUGCUCUACUUGCCACAGACAACCGUGAUAGGAACAGCUUUUUUUUCUGAACUAGCCUUUACUAAAAUCCCAGUUGUGCACUUCAGAUUCUGAUACAUGGCCCUGUAAGAAAGUCAACAGGCAGAAUAAGAAAAGCAUGAAUCACUUGUUAAUCUGUUCUCAACAGUAGCUGUAUUUUAACUUAAAUGUUAAUUUCAUUGAAAUCAUAGAUAUGGUCUAACUUCUCUAAAAACCCCAAAGAAUUAAACAAAACCUCCCAUUAAAAAGGCUAUGGCAAACAAAAAAACCCCACACCAAACCCAAGAUUAUGCAUAUCUGUAGGCCAGGAUUAAGUCAGCACACUUACCAUCCCUUUAGUUUCCCUGACUUGCUGUAUAUGAAAAUAAGGAAUUCUUGUUUCUGAGCACAAGUAACUGCUUAGGGGUUUGGUAUGUGAACUCCUGAGGAUGUGUUUCUUAUCUAGACAGAUUCUUUAGCUUUCCUCCUGAAGCUUCUGUGGAAGAUGGUGGGAUAAACGUGGUGGGAUACUGGCCUGGGAGCAGUGUUGUCUCACCCAUUAUUGCAUUUAAUGUGUGUAAUUUGUAAGAAUAUGCAUCUACCAUAUUGUCCCUAAAUGUUAAGAUUCUUUUGCUCGUGCUAAAAACUCUCACAGUUCUGAAGCACUAAUUUUGUCCCCAGGUUCCAUUUGUAUUUAUGCAAACAAGUGCUUGGUGUGUUUGCUUUACUUAGAUUUCUGUUAGCAAUAUGCUCAGUUGCUGAAAGAUGUCAAAAUGCAUGGAAGUGAAAAGGCUUGAUCUCCAGAGAUGGAAAUGUUAUUAAUGCUUAAAUGACUCUAUUUAAAUCCCAGUUAACACAUCAGUUGUUAUGAAUGUUGUGUAUUGGCUUGUGCAGUGCACUCUGUGCUGCUGGGCUAGGAUUUUCCCACAGGUAUAAAAGAGUGAAUUUGAUUAGAAAUGUAAGGGUUUGUGCCUGUAGGGGUAAAAGGCUGGUGAAUGGUGAACUUGCAGUUGCUCACCCCCAUGCUUUAACUCAGGGCCACUGCUGCCAGUGGCCCCUUUCCUGUGAAAGGAGCCCUGUGGGUGUCGGCAGUUGUAGGUGAAGAAUUCGAUGGUGUGGUUUAGAUGGAAAGUCCCUGCUGUAUGGGAAACUGUCCCUAUAGCAAGAGGCUGGCUGACAAACACACCAGCCCCUCCCACACACCAUUACUGAUUUGAAAGAGGGGACGUUUGUGCUCAUACCCACACAUUUACAAUAUUGGAUCAGGUCCCAAAUUUGACCUACAUUGUUUUGUCCUGUUUUCUCCUUUAUAAUCAACUUUGCACAGUCCAUGUAAUUUUUUGUGUGUUCUGCUUUGCUCUUCAAAGCACAGAUUAAACCACACUUCUCUCUAAACAGAUAAAUUCCAGCAGUAUUGGGUCCUAUAGCAACCCUUCAAUUUCACAGACCAGAGAGCCACAAAAAGAAAUAAAGAUGGUUGAGCACAGACUUUAGUCUUGAGUUUUUGCAAGGUCAGAAUACCAAAAAUAACAAAAAUAGUUAUGCUUGCAAGUAUUAGUUAAAGAUUUUGGAGAAAAAUACUUUGUCAAAAGAAAAGGAAACCCUGAGCUUAUGGCAAUUUUUGCAGUUAAAAUGUGAGUUGGAAGUUCUAAACUUUUAAUUUGUGAGUUUUCUGGGCAACAGAAGCAAAGAACUCUGUUUUCUGAUUGGUUUCUCUGAACUGGAUAGAAGCUGCCACGUGCAUCCAGCUCCUUCCCAGCACGAGGGGAUCCAGGCAGGAGGGAGAUCUCCUGAACCCUUCUCCCACCCAAGCCCAUGUUUCUGUCUCCAUGGGCUCCGGGAGCCUUGCUGACCUACAGAAACACCACCAAGGCCAAGGAUGAAGGAACUUCUGCAGAAUACAGUGUGAGCUCUGGCUGGGGACCUUCUGUUAGGUGCUUGUGCCUCCUGUCCCCAGUGGUGCCUGAGAAUGCUCCAUGGUCCUUGCCUCUCUGGCACAGAAUCUCUGCCCAACUGUUCAUUUCCCCAAAACGUGUUGGUAAGGCAACACCUUUAAAUCUUUGCCACUCAGCCAAGUUUUACUGAAAGCAAGUGAUGACUUCAAAAAUUUCAAGGACUAGUCAGGCAAAAAGUGGCACACUGCCCAUGCCUCAUUCCAUUCAGAAAUCAGGAUAAAAGUGUUUUAUGGACGGAAUUUUAUGCUUGCCUGUGCAUAGGUGAGGACUUGCAGGAAAACCAUGAAGGCCAUCCCCAAAGUGGCUUCCCAGCAAAUCCCCAGCACCCUGAUAACCCAUCACUGCUGUGCCUCUAAUCUUUGCACGCAGUCAAACUCAGUCAGGAGAACACCAGUCUGCCAUCUUUAUCCAUUUUGUAGUAAGCAAAAUUGUUACAAAAAUUAUUGAGGUGAAAUAGUCUUGGCUUCUCUCUGCAGGAGGAUGAAUAUGGCUUCUCCAAAAGGUAGAUGCAUGACUCGCAAGGAGCUGUGAGUCCAUCUGUAAACACAGAGCUGUAUGUGAAGGAAAAUCAGGCUCUAUGGUCACUCACCUUGUGUAUGAUGUGCUUACGGUGUGAUGCCUGAGGUUCAGAGGUUUUGCAAAGUGACUUGAGGAUUUACCUCUGUGUGAGUUCUGAGACCUUACAUUUGGUGGAAGUGGUUCAAAUGAACCCGAAUCACAUGAGGGUUCCUCAGGGGAUGCAGAGGCACAGGAGAUGCCCAGUGCAGAGGGAAAUGAAAUCUGAUGCUACUGACUCUUCAUUGCUCUGUUCGUGUACCAGCUGUGGUUGUAAGUUGUGGUGGUUUUUGUCUGGAUGGGAUUGGAUCAUCCUGGAGCUGUGGGUGUUCAGAGGCUUAGAUGAGUUGCUCAGGGCUAGCAGGACCAGGUGCUGGUGUUCAGUGCCCUGACACAAGGGUAGGAAGCUGAAAGGAAUAUUAGGAGGUGACACCUCAGUAUUUCAAGAGAUUUAAGCCCAAAUGGCUCAGUGAGGGUUUCUAGAAAGGAAUCCCUGGUGGAUGACAAUUCCCUUCUCUCUCUCUUCUCUCUUGUCUUGCCUUCUGUCCUUUUUCACCCUUUGCAACAGCAGUACAAGAUUCAGAGCUGAAGUACAAAACCUUUUGGCCAGUCAAGCCAAAUGUUGAUUAGCAGGGGUGCCAGGGAUGAGAUAACACUCGGAUUUGGUAUGAGCAGUUCAUCCUCCCCUGAGGCAGACAGACUGAAUAUUUUGACUUGCUACAAUAAUUUCCUGUGCACUGAUAACCACUGAUUCAGUACAAAUGGUAGUAACAGGCUCCAUCAGGAGCUGUCCUGAAGGGCUGUUGAUUCAUUUAAUCCCACAAUGAAGAUUGAGUGAGCUAUUAUUUCGAAAGGCAAGCUGGAUCCAGCAUGUAUUUGUGUCAACACGCCAGAGAUGACACAACCAGUGCCUCACCCAGCCCAGCAAAGUGGGGUUUUGGUAAUGUUUUAUUUGGUCUCCAUGUUUGGCUGGGAGACAAGCAAUGCUCUUUGGAUGUGUUGUUUCUAUGAACAGUACACUGGAAACAUUCUCUGUGAGAGGGUGGCACUGCUGUGUUCUGCUCACUUGAUUUCUGUGCACCUCCCUUCUGCAUGGGCUCUAGUGGGAGAUGUCACUGUGAGAAUAAGGACCGAGGGCUUCUGGAGUAGCCACAGUGGCUGGGACUGCUUGCCCACCAAAUGCAGCUGGGAGCUCCUACAGUUCCUGCCACGUUUUGGAAGCAGUGAGGAGAGCCCGUGUGGCCCUGCUGAAGGAGUCCUGGUGGUCCUGGUCAGCCCACCUGCAGUAGGUGGCUCCCACCUGCACGUGAGCUCUUCGCAGGUUCCUUGUGACUGCUGUCCUCAGAGAGCCCACAGGCACUCAGGCAUCUUUCCAGGUAUGAGGUUUAAAUUUUUGCCCUUUAAUUUUUAAGGAACAUUUUUGACACUGUGAAAGUUGAGGCAACUGGAGCUUUCUUUGAUCUAGGAGUGAAGUUGACUCAGUUCUGCUUUGCCCAGUUUUAUUUAAAGACCAUGACUCCUACUACUGAAACAUUACUCAUGAAUGCUGUUAUUGCAUUAUCUGCUUUUCCAUCUGUUAGAUGCCAUGGCCCCAGCAGCACAAAUACCACAACAGCAGCAGCUGUCAAAGGUCUAUUUAGGCAUCUUCAAAAAGUAGUAAAACCUGAUACCACUGAAGAUAAGCCAAGUUUUAUUACCAUAAAGUUUUCUUUGGGUCUGAUUUUAGAAAUGUUACUACUUAGGGCACCUCUGGAAUUUAAAUUUUGAUGGGAGGGAGGUUGUACUAAUCUAUUAUUUUAAGUACAAUUAUUUGCUUAUUCCUUGUUUAAACAAUGUUGUGUUAUUGUUUAUAACCCAUGUACAAAUAUAUAACUCUCUUUUAUAUCUGCCUGCAGUGUUCUGUUUGGUUACUUCCCAACUCUGGGAGUUCACAUAGGAUAAAAAAGGACCACUUGGGCCAAACCCAUGUCUCAUCUUCUGGGUAACCUCCAUGACUUCAUGACAAAUCAAAAGUCUCAUUAUAAGCAUAGCUCAUGAAGCAGGAGAUACCCUGAACCAAGUCCUGUGUAUCACUUAGAAAUGUAAAAUUACAAUUCUGUAGUGAAUAGUGCAUUUAAAUAUGAACGAUAAUUGGAGCAACAAAUUAACCUUGUUUAUGCUAAUUGAGUGGAUCUGAAGACUCCUCAAGGACAGGUGUCCCAUUAAUAGCAUUGCCUAAUGGACUGCAGUUCCUUCAGAAGCCUCACAGUCUUGACCAGGCACAUGGAAACAACCAAAGAAUUCUGCAACGCUACAGCUCCAUGAUGCUGCACACAGACAAGCUGCGUGUCUGCAGGAGGCCUGGGUACCCUGCUCCUGCUCCUGGCUGCUCUUACACCCCUGUCCCCACGGGCUCAGCACCUGCUGGUCCUUCAGCCCACCUGGAAAACUGAGAGCUCUUCCAGUCAUACCCCAGGAGGGACAGGACUGAUGAUAUAAUGGCCACCAACUGCUCUUGGGGUUUGGUCUGCCCCCACAAGUAGUCACAGAGGUGAGUGGUGCCCGAUGGCUGCUGCACAUUCCCUGAGAGCUGAAGGACACAACAGCAGCACUGACAGCUUUCCCGGCAUCUCCCUGCUCACGACUGUGGAUGUCUGAAAAGCACAUUGGAGAAAUGCAAGUUUUAGGGCUAAAACCAGAAAUGGAACACAGCUGUGCUGGGGCCCAGGCUCUUCCUGGUGACAACACUGUAUCUGCAAUCUGUCAGGAUGGAGUGGGAGGAAGGCAGGCUGGCAGCCACAGCACAAGACCUCACAACCACAGCUCCCAGAUUCCACUACUUGUUCCACUGCUGGUCCUGAGCAGCAUUAUCUGCAGGGCUGAAUGAGCUGCUGGUGGAAGGCUGAGAUGGGAGAUCAGCAGAGGUUCAUGACUGCCAGUAGCAAAUCCCAUGGAAAAAGCAAAAGCAGAGUUGUUAAGGACAUCUUCUCAGAACCAGAACUGGAAGUGGUGAACCCUGGAGCAUCCUCCUCCUUUACCAGCACCUUGUAGCCUGCAGUGGAGACUAAUUCCUACAGCUGUAUGGAUUGUCAUCAGCCAUGCACUGCACACGAGCCAAACAUUACAGCCUUCUGCAAGACAACUUUUCAGACAGCUGCAUCUCAUGUUGCCAUGGAAAUGGACCUGACCUCACAGAAAGCCAGGACUGAGACUGCAGCCAAAUAUUUUGUCAUUACUGAGUCAGGGCUAGGUUCAUUGCUUUAGCUGAAAUCUAAAUGGAGUAAACAGAAGAUGGAUGUAAAUGGGCUACUUGGAGCUCUGGUGGAGAGAAUACCCCCUUUCUUUUGGUGCAGGAACAGAGGCAAUGGGCAUUAAAUGAUCAGCCUGGUGUGAAUGGAAGCUCUCCAUCCACAGUUUAAAGGUAAAGCUCUAAAACCAAAUAGGGCAAAUCAUAUUAUCUUAAAAUAUAGUCUAGGAAGAAAUGGUAUAAAGCUACACAACAUAUUUUCCUAAUAGUGAAAUGGCUAGUAAGGAGACAUGAUGCAACUGACUUCAGUGACAUGACAAAAUGAGUUUCCAAGGAUUUAUACCAACCUAAGUAUUACUUCUGGUGAUUUAUAAAACUGCACACAGAUCUUCCUCCAGACAGUCAGAGGAACCAAACACAGAAGACAGCUGCAGUGAUGUAUCACUGUUUGUUUGACCUCAUUCCUCUCAGGAAGAGGGCCUUUAGAGCAAAUGUGUUUGCACCAAGGCCAACUCUGCCCUCCCUACAGUUACUUGCCAACUGCAAUAGGGCCUUGGAGAAUUCACAUUUUAACUAUUGGACUUUUGAAAAUGUAUUUCACUCUUUCUACAGCAAUGCAAAUACACUCCAUUUUCAAGGAAAAGAACUAUCUACCACCAUUAAAAAAAAAAAAAGCAAUCCAGGACAGACUAUAAGGUGCAUGAGCAGAUCACAGUAUCCCAGUGAAACCCUGGAGAAGCAGGGCUUUGAAUUUGCUGACUGACCACUGGAUGCCACUAUUGUUCCACUGAAUUGCAGUGCAGUGUUGUCGUAUUCUGACUGGCUUACUAUCCCAAAGAGGAGAAUUCAAAUAGCACUGGUAUGUGCAAUUUUCUGUAGAAAACAAGCAAUUAGAUUUGAAAUUAUUAAUGCCUUUCAACGUGUUUAGAAAUUUGUUUUUUCUCUGGGCUCAGAGCCCUUUCCCUGCAGGAAUCACAGCACCAGCCUCUCCCUUUGAAGGCCCUGGCAGACUACCUCCAGGUUUUGACUGAAGAGAAGCAAUUCUAAAUCCACACUCAUCAUGCAGAAUAUUAAGGCAUUAUUCAGGAAAAGAGGAAGAGAUGAAUGACCUAACAUUAGUGCCCAAAAAUUCAGACCUGAACUGGGGAGAUGGUCGUGGUACUGUGGUCCCCAGCUGGCAGAGGCUGCAGGGCUGCUCAGAGCCUCUGUCCAUGAUAAGCUCAGUGUUGGAUGUCACAGAGACAUUAGGGUUAGAAGACAACAAUGUCACAACAUUGUGAAAUUUUCUCUACAUGAAUGGGCCUGGGUUAUCUUGCUUUUAAAAUCUCUGUACUGUUUUUAACAUUUUAAACUGUAUAUAUAUGUAUUUGAAGCCAGACCAGUUCUGCCUGUCUGCAGAGUCACGCAACAUGGAUUGCUGUAUUUCUUACCAUCCUCAGGUCUGUGUGUGCAGCUUGUCAAGAUGUGUGACCUCUGGAAGCCCACAGGGAAGCCCUGUGGCUCUCAGGACAAGGAGCAGUGCUGAGGAGUUGCCAUGACUGCUCUGCAGCCUUGCCCCUGAAAGGGCUUUCCUUUCACCCUUGAGAUAAACACAGGGUGUAGCGCUGCCCCACGCUUGCAUCCCACGACACUGAACCUGUGCACUGUCUCAGGCUGAUGUCUUCCAUGAUUAAAUUCCCACUUGGAGCUGGCACUGAGCCUUGUUCUAGUAACAGAGAGUGUGAGCAGCAAUGCUGCUUGUGAGCCCCUCUGCUGCCAGCUUUUCCUCAGUCAUUUUCCCGUGCGAGUUCUCCACACACCAGCCAUUAAUCCCUCACUGUCUGUGCCAUGGAGCCAUAGCGUAGAUUUUUCUCAUUUCCAGGAGAAAGCUCUGUCAGGAAGGAAUAGACAUUCUUCUCUUAACUGCUCUACUUGAUAUUCCAGUGGCAGUCACCUCCAGCAAGAGGUGAAGAAAACAACUGCAGGUAGUAAUGUCUUAAAUCCUCUGCUCUAAAACAUUGCACUAAAUCAGGGAAUUAUGUUAUAUGCUGGCACCUCACUGUAACAACUAAAAAGAAGUUUUUCCCUUUCCUUCCUUUCCUCCAGAUUGUAUAAGAGGUAAAUACAGGAGUUUUUUUCCUCAUGAAACCCAUACACAUUUCUUGUAUUGGCAAUUUCACACACACACACCAUACUGGAUGUUGGAAAUUAAAAUCAAGAUUGCUUUAUUCUAGCUGAGGAAUCCCUCACCUAAUUUUUCAACUGACUUUCAAAAUCCAGCAAGUGUACUUGAGUUACCAGGGAAAGAUAAGUGCCAGCUAGGUGGAUAUGGAGCUAGAAAUGACAGCAUAAUUUAUGAUUGAACCUAAAACAAAUCACCAUGAUUUUUUUCUUUUGCAGUUUUCAGCAGUUCAAGUGAUUUCAAUAUGACAACAAACCUUCCCUACCAUCCUUCAGUUUUAUUCGAAAAAAUGUCCUUUUUAUUCAUUGUGGAUUCCUUUUAUGCUCCAAUGCAGAUGUUUAAAAAUAUUUAUUUGGUUUCAUUUCAAAAGGACACUGUUUAAAUUUUUGUAAAUCCAAUUUUACAAUGCAGAACACCAGAUUUCAGCUGAAAAGGAACCUGAUAUAAUAAUAAUAACAAUCAAUCAUCAUCAUCAUCUACAUGUUCUAGAGCACAUCACAGCCUGGACACUGACUGCAGAAGUGCACAAGAGACUUGUUACCAUGCCCACAGCAUACAAGAUUAGAUGUUGUUUCUGCAGAUAGUCAAAGAAAUAACCUAAGCUUAUGGAGUGCAAUAUUCAGGUGUUUCCUGGAAUGCAAUUCCUGAUAACAAUUUUGCAAAAAUUAUUUCACUCAAGGACAUUUUUAAACAUCCAUUUGUUGGCCUCAAUCUGGUUUGGUUUUUUGGUUUUUUUUUUUUUUUUUUAAGCAGUUCACUUUAUUUCUUCAAAUAACAGAAAACUUUUCUUAAAAUAUUACCUUAGAGAUUGGUAAGAACAAGUAACUCAUAAUUGUCUUUCCAGAGUUAUUGUACCAGCUGUAUUUAUCAUGUUUAGACUGCAUGUGCUGGUGAAUGAGAAGUUUCUUUGUGCAGGCUUCAGAUCAAGAAUUAAGAAGAAAACAACUCACAUUACCAAGAUUUUCUUAUUAUCUUUAAACAUGUAGAUUUAAAAAUAUUUUCUUCAGUUUUUGGCCUUUGCAUUUCUGCUGUGGGCACAGCGUGCAAGAGGCAGAGCUCUCAGCAGAGACAGAAUGUCUGGGCAAAGAUAUCUGAGAGACACUGCUCACUCCAUACUGCUGUCACUCAAAUUUAUUUUAAACCAUAAGGGUUUGAUUAUAUUUUUAAGAUAUUAACUUGAAUAUUGCAUUUUUUCCAAAUUGUUAAAGAGCCUUUAAUCUGUCUUGAAAUUUCCUUUUUUUCCCUAGUGAAGGUGAUGGCACUUGUGCAUGUGAAGUUAAAGCUGUACAUAGGCACCUGAGCAUCAGCACUCGCCAGACUGAAGAGUGACAGGGAAUCACAUACACAAUUGUUUCCUAACUUUUUGCUGAGCUCAUCCUGAAAGAAAAACAAAAGGAUUUUGAUUUAAGUGUCUUUAACUCACCCUAGUUCACACACUCAGUGGGGUGACAUGAAGCACCUCUCUUGGGAGAGGCAUUGUUCAAAACUAGCUGCAGCUGAGAAUGCUUUAAAACUGGAGUAUCAGCUGUGUUCUGUAUGGACAGCUACAGUUUAAUGGCUCUGCAAGCUAAUCAGAGAUCAGCUAAAGAGAGACAGGGUUGAAAUUAUUACAUUAUGCUGCUUUUCUAACCCUUUGUGUUGCUUUGUGGGCAUCAGACUGAAAGGACAGUACUGUGGUGAAAUAUGGUUCCAGAAAUUUUAUUUUCUUAAAUAUUUCACCAUAUGGUUGAUAGUAGCACAGGGUGAAAGCUUUUAAUUCUUGUUUUUACAGUCAACAAAUUAUCUACAGUAAAUUUUCUCAAGGAAGGAGAAUAUUUGUAUUUACGUGCAGUGUCCUGGUAGCUCUGAGGCCUGUGCUGCUUCAUUGGACUGAAAAAUGAAUGGUAAACUCAGCUGAGUGUGUCAGGACAUAUUUUUAUUGAAAUUUAAUGUUCUAAUGGUCUGAAAUUGGAACUAAGAAAAUAAAUUGCAGCCCUUGGUUAUGGAAUGGGUUUCCCUAAAGAUGCACUUAAUACUUUGGUGCUUAAUUUCCCAUGUUUAAAAUUAAAACCAUUCCUGCUCACUUUUCUCUGAUAAGUCUUCAGAGUUUGGGGCUGUGUGUUUAUUUUGGGGUGCUGAAUUAUGACAUAGAUUUGUUUAUUUGCUGACAGUAAAACAGGUCUUGUUUUUAUGGCUGGUGAGAGAUCAGAUAAACCACAUACUGUUUCUGCAGGCACCAAACUAAUGUCCUUCAUUUAUUGUUUUCCCUGAAAUGCUAUUUUACUGCUUUUCACAAGCUGUGGGAGCUUCUCUUCAUUUCCCUGGUGCUACCUUUGGCUCUUCCUCCUUUUCAAGUACACUACAAUAUUUUCAAACACUUUUGAGUGCCUUAGAGUUGGUAAUGGCACUUACACAACUAUUUCAGCAGCUGGUCUAAUGAAGGAGAGCAGUCAGAUGCACAAGAUUCAGUGACAUUUGGCCCUGUCUAUAGUGAUAUUUCACAAGUGUGAGAUGCUGAACAAAUUUUUGUGAAGCUUUUUCAAAUGGAGAUUGGAGCAGACAUGCAAAAUAUUGCACAUAUUCUCCAAAGAUGAUGUAUGUGUAGUACAGGAUAGGGUGGGAAGGAGAACAGCUGUUUCAUGGCAUGAGUUGCUAUAGCUACUAACAUCAAAAUUUGUCAUGAAAUAUCUGCAUCGCUGAAACUCUUCAAAACAGUUCAACUAAAUGGCAUUGUCUGUGCUGCUCCUUACUUCAUGGAAGAGGUCCCUUGAACUACUCUCUGAAAUUCUUGGGGUAAAUUCAGUGAAAGCUUACCUGGUGCCUGCCUCCCAAAAUGGAAGAAAAAAUUGAGUGCCUAUGGUAACCCUUAUCACAUGUGGCGGCAGUUAAACGAGGGAAAUAUCUGCUCCCAUCUUUAAUCAGAAAUAAAGUUGCAGAGAGAGAAACGUGUGGUUGUGGUUCCCUGAAAGUGAUUAGUAUCUAAUGCCUCAUUGAUACUGAAGCUAUGGAAUCCCAUUCCUCUCCCUGUGCUUUCUUUUCUCUUUCUUCUGUCCUACAUUGUUUUGUACUUGCUCUAGCAUAUUUGGAACACCUGUAAGCCAAUUCACUUGCUAAGCUGCUGGAACUCUAGCCCAACCAAAAAAUAAAAACAAAUAGAAUUAAUGAGCUGGACUGACUCAGAUGAGCAAAAAAAAAAAAGCAAUAAAAACCAGGGCCUGUGCAAAAUCAUAACUGUGUAGAAAAUUUUGGGGAGGAGCAGUGAAAUAGUGGCAGUCCAUGUUUUAGUUGGCAUCUUGUCACUCACCCUGAGGCAGUUUUGUUCAAAGGUUUUGGCUGUGGUUUCUUUUCUGUGGAGUCAGCAUCCUUUUUGUGUCACACCCGCUUGGAUUCCUGAAGCUUAGUUUGUUUUCCGUGGCUUUGGCUUGGCACAAAGACUUGUUACUCUGACAGGUAAGGACACCAUCUCCUCUGUGGAUAUUUUUGUGACUGCUGGUGUCCUUGGUCAAACUCUGGGGAAAGAUAAGCAUCUUUCUCUCUGAUUUUUUUUAACCUAACAGGCAUUAGUCUGAAAUUUCACUGUCCAAGUGCAGGAGCAGAGGAAACUUUCAGCCAGAAGCUUAAUGUCUUUUAAAUACUGAGCCAUAUGACUCUCAAGUAGUGGGACACUGAGGGAGAGGAGGGAAUGGAUCACACAGGUGGGCUUAAGAAUGUAAACUCCUGUAACCUGCUGUAGGUCUCUGCACCUUUGGAGCCACCAAUGGGCUCCAGAGACAUCUAUUAAGAUCACUGCAUGACAGGAGCUUCUAAUGCAUGAGCUGGAACUGAGAGCAGACCUCAAAGCGCUUACCAGUGCAGAGCACAACCCACAGACUGGCUUAUGAGGUUAUUUUUACACAUCUCCACAAAGAGACACGAAAGCCCUGUGAGCUGGGCUUUGUGGAGAUGCACUUCUUACAGCAAGGGACAAUAAAGGAGUCACAGGCUGCCACCGGCCUAUUGCAUAACCGGAUCAGACAUUCUAAUGAGCUUCUGCUCGCCCAGGCCUCGUCAGCCCUGCUGAUUUGUAAUCAAGCAGGACACUGCUAUAGAAACCACUCCAGCAAACAGCCUUGCUGAAUGUACUUAAGAAGAUGAGUUUGAAUUGAAAUGCAAACAAACUGUGGAUCAGCCCCUCGCUUUCUGAGUUGUAGGAGCCUAUUGUCUUACUGUUCAUGUUAUGGUUUAAUCCAGUUUGAAGUUAAGUUUUGAGAGGCAUUUUGUACAUUUCACUUCAUAAAGCAGUUUCAUCUGGUUAUUUAAUUUUUUUCCAUUAUAAUUCUUAAUCCAAAUUUUUAGCAAAUAAUUACAAAGAGGAAAUUAUAAAUACAUCUUCAAGAUUUCUCUAAUAAUUUAUUCUAUAAAGUAUGUUUAUAAAAGAAAUUGAACGACAAUAAAUUUUUAGGCUAACAGUCUAUAUGACAGAAUGGAACAGCUAUGAAAUAACACAAGUUGUUUGAUUAUUUUUAAACUGAAUUAUAAAGCAAAAUAAAAGGAGACUCCAGAUAAUUCAGUUGAUUAGACUCAAGCAAGACCAAGUAAAGAAGGAGAAAACUGUUUAAGGAGUUACUCUUAAAAUUUGGGUUGCUGUCAAAGACCUGACAUCCACUACAGGAUAUUUGUGAUAUUACUCAAGAGAAUAUAGGAAGCACUUGAUAUUUUUGAUCCUUUAUUGCAUCCCUUAGGACCCCAAGUUUCUAAAGAUACCAGUCUUUCUCUGUACCAAAAUCCUCCUUAUGUCACGCUGUUAAGAAUCACUUUAGAAAGCUGUGUUUCACUUCUCACUCCAGUUUACAAAGACUAUGUUAAUUGUUAUACCAAACUGGUGCAUUAUCAGUGAAGGAUUGUGUUGGACUACAGUUUUUCAUAUGGUAAAAUUUUCUGACACUUUUGCCUGAAUGCAUCCCACAAAGACUGUUCCUUUCCUGGCCAGCCUUUUAAAAAAACAUAAACCAAACCUGAUCCAUGAUGCACAACAGAGUGCUUGGGGAGCUCUCCUUUGAAUAGCAUCAACUUCAGGAACAGCUGCUGAGAUCAAAUGGACAAAGGGAAUUCGGCACCACCCAUGCCUGUAUUAUGUUUUAAAGCUCCAGGAGCUUAAUCCUUCCUGUGAACAAGGUCUGUUGUCCCACUUGCCAUUACCACUAACAUAUUCUGCUUCCUCCUCGGGGUGCACCUGUGGCAAAGCUGCAGUAGAAAGAUCCAAAGUCUCUGCAUUAACCUGGGUGAUAAAAUGGAAGUUUCCUAUUGCACUGUGAGGAAUGAUUUCCUAUAACCCAAAUAACACUUAAAAAAAUAAAAAAUUCAGUUAUUAAAAAAAAUGUAGUGCUUUUGCAAAGGUACCAAAAGCCAAAACAAUGAUCAGUAUUUCUGCAAGCUGAUAGAGCAUCUGACACAGUAAGAAAUAGUCAGCUUACUUGCCCCACAUUCUUUUUCACCUGCCUGCAGAGGUAGUUAUGGUCUGCUCAUAAAUGGGAGAAAUAGCUUUAUUUCCAAUAUGUAUGGCAGGAAUAUACUUUGCCCCCAGAAGUUAAUUUUUUUUUUACUUUGGAAAGGCUGAUUUUGACCUUGCUCAGCAUUUUUCCAUUCUUAAGCCAACCUUUGAAAACAAGAAACGAUGAAUGAAAGAGAAUCUGGAAGGAGGGCAAGCAGUGUGUGAGAGACAUCUGGGGGUUUAUCACGGCUGUGUUUGUGGCAGAAAAACCUACGAGGACCUUUUUCUUAUGCAGCUCCAUCCCUUGUUGCACACAGAACAUUGUUCUGUCUACUUGGAGAUCCUAACAGUGAAAAUGCUAAUGGUACUACUUGUGUCCUAUGUUACCACUUUCUUAUACUGAAAAUGCUCAGAAAAUAAGUGAAAUUUGCCAUCUUGGCUCCACAACUGAAUUAAAAAAAAUCUAUUAAAAAUAAAUAUUUUA